GAUGAACGCUGGCGGCGUGCCUAAUACAUGCAAGUCGAGCGAACAGACGAGGAGCUUGCUCCUCUGACGUUAGCGGCGGACGGGUGAGUAACACGUGGAUAACCUACCUAUAAGACUGGGAUAACUUCGGGAAACCGGAGCUAAUACCGGAUAAUAUAUUGAACCGCAUGGUUCAAUAGUGAAAGACGGUUUUGCUGUCACUUAUAGAUGGAUCCGCGCCGCAUUAGCUAGUUGGUAAGGUAACGGCUUACCAAGGCGACGAUGCGUAGCCGACCUGAGAGGGGGUUCGGCCACACAGGAACUGAGACGCGGUCCAGACUCCUACGGGAGGCAGCAGUAGGGAAUCUUCCGAAAUGGGCGAAAGCCUGACGGAGCAACGCCGCGUGAGUGAUGAAGGUCUUCGGAUCGUAAAACGCUGUUAUUAGGGAAGAACAAAUGUGUAAGUAACUAUGCGCGUCUGGAGGGUACCUAAACAGAAAGCCACGGCUAACUACGU
rnacentral:rRNA from 1 species